UACAGAGGUCUCAAGCGUUGUUCGGAUUCAUUGGGCGUAAAGGGUGUGUAGGCGGAUCGGUAAGUACCUUGUGAAAUCCCACAGCUUAACUGUGGAACUGCUUGGUAUACUGCCAGUCUUGAGCCAGCUAGGGGCUACCGGAACAAAUGGUGGAGCGGUGAAAUGCGUAGAUAUCAUUUGGAACGCCAAUGGUGAAAACAGGUAGCUGGGGCUGUGCUGACGCUGAGACACGAAAGCCAGGGGAGCGAACGGG
rnacentral:rRNA from 1 species